CACGCGCUGGGGCACGCCUCUCUCAUGGUUGGCCGCGGCCCGGAGCCCUAGCGCCUCAGCGUUUGUUUCCGCCGCGCGCGGAUGCCCUAGCACAGGUGACCGGGGCCGGCCUCUGGCUUUUUUUCCUCUCCCUGACGGGGCCCGAGGUUGCGGGGCGGGACCCAGGAGAGGCGAGGAGGAGGAAGAGGAGGAAGGCUUUGGCCCUGGCAUGAGGUAAAUGGCCGGCCCGCCGCCGAGACCUCGACUUCCAGCCCACAGAAUGGGGGCAGCGAGCUGGGGCGGCCCCACCGCGCGGGAGUGCCGAGGAAGGAGAUUCCUUGGAAUGAAACCAAUGGGAGUCCGGGGUUUAGGAGAGUCUCAUCAGAGCAGAUGGGCCCGCAGCCGCCAGAAAGCUUGUUGCCUUUGGCUGGAGCACCAUCCUGGAAAUGAACGUCUUAUGGGGAUACUAAGACCCAAGGAGAGGAAUGGAGUUGAUGUGGACAUUCCGUGGAACCCAGAGGCAACUCAGGCCAUGGUGAGUUUGUCAAUUCUGAAUCCAGUCACUACGCAGGCAGGGGCCAGGUCACCUGCAGCAGGGCCUCAGGAGGAGGAGGGGCCCGGGCUUACUUGUCUGUGCCAAGCCCUGUCCUGUCUCCCGUGUGAUGCUGCAGGCGUCCACCCCUCCAUCUAAUACCCCGCCAUAGCAGUGCCCUGAGCCAGGCACUAUUCCGGGCACUCUACAAAUAGUUCCUCACGUCGUUCCUCAGUGAAUGGGACUGCAGUAAUUCUGACACUUUCCUAAGAGAAUGUUCUUCCCUGGGUUGCAGCCCUGGUGCAUUUCUGUAAACAGCAACAUUCUCUCACUUUGGCUCGCUAAGCCUCCUUUGUGAAAAUGGAACAGAGAACCCCAGACUGGGGAGCACUGCCCCAAAGAAUCAGGCGUGGAGACUGCAGGGAGGCGGGCUGUGGCAAGAGCUCCCCAGCGGAGCUGUGGGUGGGAGAAGUGGGCUGCCGCAGGUGGGCUGGCUUCCUGGUGCUUGAGGCGAUCCGCUGAGGCGCCCGGUCACGGGGAUGGUGUGGAGCUCCUGGCCCCGGGCCGGCUGCCCUGGUGGACUUUCAGCUCCGCUGCAGCAGAGUGGUGCGGCUGCCGCAGGAGAGUGCAGCUUCAUUGGUACUUAGCGAACUGGUGAGCCGGGAUGGGUUCUAGGAACACAAUGUGGAAGCCCCUGGGUCAUCCAGUUGCUGACUUCUGCAGAGAAGGGAGCCCAUGACGGGGAGCCUUAUACUACAAGGAAAGCCUCUUGUGGGGACAGGAACAAAACAUCCCUGAAAAGCACUGGUCCAGGAGCGCAGGGGACGUCCCUGAUGGGAGUCCUAACCCGGCCUUCCACCAGGGAGCACGGGGACAGCUGUCACUGCCUGCCUUCUCAGUGUUUCAGCACACACACACAUGUAUUAAAAAUAUCAAACAGAUCAAUUCUGAUUUUCAAAAGAAACCUCCUGAGGCUGAGAGCUCUAGAUCCGGGGGCCCAGGGAGCUGGGCAGCCCAAGGCCUGGGCUGUGUGUCACACAGUUUCACCCUGGCCUCCUGGACGCCCGAGGUAGGCCAUUCGAGCACUGCAUCUGGUCCCAUGGAGCUGAGAGGUGUCACAGCACACAGGUGCCAGAGCCCCUGCGAGCCCCAUCCCUGCACCGGCAGGUCACAGGUCACAGGCCCUGGACCACCCUUCCUAAAAAAAUUCCUCUGAUAUUGGGAACUCACCCUAUGGUCCAAGAAUGAGAGUAAUUCAAAAAAGUCAUGGAAAUUGAACUAAAAGAUGUUUAUUUUGGUGUAAAACAUUUUGAAAUCCAUGCAUAUAAUGCAUUAUCAAAAAAUUUGUGGAAAAUUCAUAUUAUGAAAAAACUAUGCAUGGAUUUAAAUGAUUUUUUUGCAUCAAAAUAUAUAUAUAUAUAUAUUUUUUUUUUUUUUGACAGGCAGAUUUAGACAGAGAGAGAGAGAAAGAAAGAAAGGUCUUCCUUUCCAUUGGUUCAUCCCCCCAAAUGGCCGCCAUGGCUGGCGCACUGCGCUGAUCCGAAGCCAGGAGCCAGGUGCUUCCUCCUGGUCUCCCAUGUGGGUGCAGGGCCCAAGCACUUGGGCCAUCCUCCACUGCCUUCCCAGGCCACAGCAGAGAGCUGGACUGGAAGAGGAGCAAUAGGGACAGAAUCCAGCGCCCCAACCGGGACUAGAACCUGGGGUGCCGGUGCUGCAGGCGGAAGAUUAGCCAAGUGAGCUGCGGUGCCAGCCCAUCAAAAUAUAUUUUCAAAAAAAUAUUUAAAAGGCAGAACAAAAGAGAAAGAGAGGCAGGGGAGAGAGAGAUAUAAGUCUUCCAUUCACUGGUUCACUUCCCAAAAGUCUACAACAGCCAAGGCUGGGCCUGGCUGAAGCCAGAAGCUGGAAAGUCCUUCUGAGUCUCCCACUUGGCACAGGGGCCCAAGCACUAUGGCUUUCCAGGCCAUAGCAGGGAGCUGGAUUAUAAGUGGAGAUGCUGGGACUCAAACCAGCACUCUGAUAUGGGAUGCCAAGGUCACAAGCCAAGUGGCAGCUUAACCUUCAACACCAGCCCCUAAAAUUAUCUUUUAAAUUCAUUUUCCCAGGGCUGGUGCUGUGGCAUAGUGGGUAAAGCCGCCGCCUGCAGUGCCGGCAUCCCAUCUGGGCUCUGGUUUGAGUCCCAGCUGCUCCACUUCCAAUCCAGCUCUCUGCUAUGGCCUAGAAAAGCAGUGGAAGAUGGCCCAAGUGCUUGGGCCCCUGCACCCACGUGGGAGACCCAGCAGAAGCUCUUGGCUUCGGAGUGGCACAGCUCUGGCUGUUGCAGCCAUCUGGGGAGUGACCCAAUGGAUGGAAGACCUUGCCUCUACAACUCUGCCUUUCAAAUAAGUAUUUUUUUUAAUUCAUUUUCCCACAACCUUUUAAAAGUACCCUUUUAUACCCAUGAUGCUAGGUAGGAUUUUGUUUCUCUGAGGAGAGGCUGCAGCUUUUGUGAGUCUUCCAGAAGAGUUGGUGACCCACAAGGAAAACCUAACUCCUCACACCCUCCCUGGCUGCCCAGUCCAUCUGUCACCUGGCAGCCCAGCUACCUCUCCUUGGCUCAGUGCCCACAGGCUCACUCUGCCUCAGGGCCGCUGCCCCUAACCACAUGCCACCAACAUCCUGCCCAGCCCGCCCCUCCAAAGUCAGCGCAGGUCACCACAAAGGACCUCCGUCCUUGGCACCCGCGGAGACCAGUGUGAGAGACAGGAGGCCAUGGUACAAAAGUCCCCGGUAGAAGUCUGUGUCACUAGCCCUGGGAUUCCCAGCCUCAGCUCUGACCUGGCUCCCUCCGGGAAGCCCUGCCCCAGCCCAACAGGUCCCCUGCACAUGGGAGAGCAGACGGAUUGUUCUAAAGUUGAAUCCCCAAAAUACCGGUGGGUAGUGCAGGCCUGGGGCUAGGCCUCUAAGGCAUCUCUCAGGGUGGGCCUUUCCCAGUGGAGCAGAGGACAGAGGCCGGGCUCCGAGCCGUGAGGGAGUCAGCCAGCCAGAGCCUGCGAGUUCUUCCACAUCUCCGCUCAUCCUCAGGAGCCCCCACAUGGCCACCUCUGGGUGCCCAGAAAAGGGAGGGGACCUGAGGGCCAGGAAUCCAUCCACACAGGGAGACAGGAGGGUCAUCACGUUGCCCAGCCACAGUGCCGCGCUGUGAGGAUGAAGACACUGCUCGCACACCCUUCAGCCUCCGACCACUCUGCCGGUGGGGACGAGAACGGUCAUCAGCCCAGCAGAGGCCUCGCCGAGCACGGCUCGGAUGGCCCGAGGCCGGCUCUGGAGGUCACGGGAUUCAGACGUGCAGAUCGGGUGGGGGAGGGUGGGGAGGGUGUGUGUGUGUGAGGGGUCAGGCCCAGGGCUCCAAGCCUCCAGUGGCUUAAGAAAGAACUGAAUCCUUGGCCGGCGCCGCUGCUCACUAGGCUAAUCCUCCGCCUAGCGGCGCCGGCACACCGGGUUCUAGUCCCGGUCGGGGCGCUGGAUUCUGUCCCAGUUGCCCCUCUUCCAGGCCAGCCCUCUGCUGUGGCCAGGGAGUGCAGUGGAGGAUGGCCCAGGUGCUUGGACCCUGCACCCCAUGGGAGACCAGGAAAAGCACCUGGCUCCUGGCUCCUGCCAUCGGAUCAGCGCGGUGCGCUGGCCGCAGCGCGCCGGCCGCGGCGGCCAUUGGAGGGUGAACCAACGGCAAAGGAAGACCUUUCUCUCUGUCUCUCUCUCUCACUGUCCACUCUGCCUGUCAAAAAAAAAAAAAAAAAAAAAAAAGAAAGAAAGAAC